AUGUUUACUUGCCUUUGUUGAUUGGUAACAAAAUAUUAAACCGGUGUUCAGUCACAGUACAAUGCCACUGUAAUUUAAUAUUAAAUUUUGCAAGAGAAUGCGUAUUGUAUGCAUAAAGAAAUAAAGAAAAGAUAUACACUUAGUAGGUUUAUAAAAAAUGGCAAAACAAUGAGAACUUGUGGCAAAUGAAUAUUUGAGUGACAACUGACAAUGUGGUACAGAAAAAACAUAUUUAUCGGUAUUUUUAUACUGUAUUACAGUAAUUUCGCUAAAGCUGCAGCAUGGAAUACAACUAGACUAACUGUGAGUGGCGUGAUCCUGCCUGUAUUUACUCCUUUCAACGAUGAUUAUUCUGUCAACUUCGAUAUU